rnacentral:rRNA from 1 species
UACGUAGGUGGCAAGCGUUGUCCGGAAUUAUUGGGCGUAAAGCGCGCGCAGGCGGUUUCUUAAGUCUGAUGUGAAAGCCCACGGCUUAACCGUGGAAGGUCAUUGGAAACUGGGAGACUUGAGUGCAGAAGAGAAGAGCGGAAUUCCACGUGUAGCGGUGAAAUGCGUAGAGAUGUGGAGGAACACCAGUGGCGAAGGCGGCUCUUUGGUCUGUAACUGACGCUGAGGCGCGAAGGCGUGGGGAGCGAACGGG